UGGCUCAGAACGAACGCUGGCGGCAUGCCUAACACAUGCAAGUCGAACGCCGGUAGCGAUACCGGAGUGGCGCACGGGUGAGUAACGCGUGGGAACCUGCCCUUGAGUGGGGGAUAACCCGGCGAAAGCCGGGCUAAUACCGCAUACGCCCAUGGAGAGAUCCAUGGGGAAAGAUUUAUCGCUCGAGGAGGGGCCCGCGUGGGAUUAGCUAGUUGGUGAGGUAACGUCUCACCAAGGCGAGGAUACAUAGCUGGUCUGAGAGGAUGAUCAGCCACACUGGGACUUUCUCUCGGCCCANAGAACUACGGGAGGCA
rnacentral:rRNA from 1 species